GAGGAGAUGUCGUUUAAAGUAGAAAUUUACGCCGGACAGACGCCGGACAAAAAGCGAUCACUUUGUGACACUGGUGAGGUGAGCUAAAAUUCAUAUUUACAUCUAUGGUGUAUAACAUGUUUUGAUUAAAAAUUAUGUUAUACUGUCUAUGUAGUUACAGUAUAUACUAGUACAUAUAAAUUUACAGCAAGGUAUAUCUAUACUUGCCUAGUGUUUAAAAUUAUCAUUCUAACAUAAACAACAAAGAGUUCACUUAAAGGAGCUCCAC